CCUACGCGAGGCAGCAGUCGGGAAUAUUGCGCAAUGGAGGAAACUCUGACGCCGUGACGCCGCGUGCAGGAAGAAGGUUUUCGGAUUGUAAACUGCUUUAGACAGGGGAGAAACAAGACAGUACCUGUAAAAUAAGCUCCGGCUAACUAAGUGACAGCCGCCGCGGUACUACGUAGGGAGCACGCGUUAUCCGGUUUUAUGAGGUGUAAAGGGUGCGUAGACGGGACGUCAAGUUGGUGGUGAAAUCCCUCGGCUUAACUGAGGAACUGCAACCAAAACUAACUUUCUUGAGUGCUGGAGAGGAAAGUGGAAUUCCCAGUGUAGCGGUGAAAUGCGUAGAUAUUAGGAGGAACACCAGUGGCGAAGGCGACUUUCUGGACAGUAACUGACGUUGAGGCACGAAAGUGUGGGGAGCAAACAGGAUUAGAUACCCGAGUAGUC
rnacentral:rRNA from 1 species